GACGAACGCUGGCGGCGUGCCUAAUACAUGCAAGUAGAACGCUGAAGCGAGGAGCUUGCUCUUCUUGGAUGAGUUGCGAACGGGUGAGUAACGCGUAGGUAACCUGCCUGGUAGCGGGGGAUAACUAUUGGAAACGAUAGCUAAUACCGCAUAAAAUUGAUUAUUGCAUGAUAAUUAAUUGAAAGAUGCAACUGCAUCACUACCAGAUGGACCUGCGUUGUAUUAGCUAGUUGGUGAGGUAACGGCUCACCAAGGCGACGAUACAUAGCCGACCUGAGAGGGUGAUCGGCCACACUGGGACGGAGACACGGCCCAGACUCCUACGGGAGGCAGCAGUAGGGAAUCUUCGGCAAUGGGGGGAACCCUGACCGAGCAACGCCGCGUGAGUGAAGAAGGUUUUCGGAUCGUAAAGCUCUGUUGUAAGAGAAGAACGGGUGUGAGAGUGGAAAGUUCACACUGUGACGGUAUCUUACCAGAAAGAGACGGCUAACUACGUG
rnacentral:rRNA from 1 species